AACGUAGGAGGACAAACGUUAUCCGGAGUUACGUGGGCGUAAAGGGCGUGUAGGUGGUUCCGUAAGUCUGGCGUGAAUUUCUCGGCUUAACCGAGGCAGGUCGUCGAUACUGCGAGACUAGAGGACGGUAGAGGCGUGUGGAAUUCCGGGUGAGUGGUGAAAUGCGUAGAGAUCCGGAAGGAACACCAGUGGCGAAGGCGACACGCUGGGCCGUACCUGACACUGAGGCGCGAUAGCAUGGGGAGCAAAGCAGG
rnacentral:rRNA from 1 species